rfam:Xanthomonas oryzae pv. oryzae KACC10331, complete genome.
AAAUACCAACCGCACACUCAGGCUCCUGCACGCCGCUUACGCCCACCUGACGACUGCUCGCAACGUUUGUUGGCC